rnacentral:rRNA from 1 species
UACGAAGGUCCCAAGCGUUGUUCGGAAUCACUGGGCGUAAAGCGUGCGUAGGCGGCAAGGUAAGUCAGAUGUGAAAUCUUAGGGCUCAACCCUGAAACUGCAUCCGAUACUGCCAUGCUAGAGUAAUGGAGGGGUAACUGGAAUUCUCGGUGUAGCAGUGAAAUGCGUAGAUAUCGAGAGGAACACUCGUGGCGAAGGCGAGUUACUGGACAUUUACUGACGCUGAGGCACGAAGGCCAGGGUAGCGAAAGGG